rnacentral:rRNA from 1 species
GACGAACGCUGGCGGCGUGCUUAACACAUGCAAGUCGAACGGAAAGGCCCUGCUUUUGUGGGGUGCUCGAGUGGCGAACGGGUGAGUAACACGUGAGUAACCUGCCCUUGACUUUGGGAUAACUUCAGGAAACUGGGGCUAAUACCGGAUAGGAGCUCCUGCUGCAUGGUGGGGGUUGGAAAGUUUCGGCGGUUGGGGAUGGACUCGCGGCUUAUCAGCUUGUUGGUGGGGUAGUGGCUUACCAAGGCUUUGACGGGUAGCCGGCCUGAGAGGGUGACCGGCAAGAGGGGGGAGGGAGCACGGACAAGGGGAGGAGGGGAGGAGGGAGGGGGUAAGAGAGAACGAGGGGAGGAAGCGUGAGGAAGGGGCGGGGGGGGGGGGGUGGGGGCGUGUGUGUGAAACACCGUUUGGGGAGGGGGGGAAGGGGGGGUGAGGGUGAGGAGGAAAGAAGCACGGGCUAACGAGGGGCGAGCAGGCGAGGUAACGACGGAAGAGCACGCGGCUGAC